rnacentral:rRNA from 1 species
ACCUGCAGCUGUACCACCCUGGCCUAUGAUCACAUUGGUACUCACGAGCUAAACAGAGUAGGACCUAGUCAAUACUUGGAUGGCAGACCAGCCAGGAACGUUGCAGAGA